rnacentral:lncRNA from 1 species
GCUUAUUCCCCGGCUUCAUCGGGCCUAAACGGGGGCUGUUAGAGGAAAGUUGCCUGACCAUGGUGGAAAGGCGUAGGAUGGGCGAUGGACACAGAUUCAGUGACUUACCUCGAGCAAGUCACAACACCAUCCAUUCCUCGAAAUAAAAUGCAGUAACUCAAAACAGAUUUAGCCCUUCAACACAUGAGAUUUGAGCCUUGUUUAGUUCCACUCAAAAACCAAAAACUUUUCAAAAUUUCUUGUCACAUCAAAUUUUGAGGCACAUCCAUAGAGCAUUAAAUAUAGAUAAAAACAAUAAGUAAU